rnacentral:lncRNA from 1 species
GACUGAAAAAACGUACAAGAAAGGCCUUUGGAAUACGGAAGAAAGAAAAAGACACUGAUUCUACAGGCUCGCCAGAUCGAGAUGGAAUGGUAAGUAUUUAAAUGACCAUUUUUAGUGAGCUUGCACCUCGAUAUCUGCUAUGCUUAAAUUCCCCCAAGGCUAGCUUCUCUCUCUCUGCCUCCUCCUUUUCUUCUUCUCUUUCUCCUUUCUUCUUCUCCUCUUCCUUCUUUUCAGAAGCGCAACUAUUUUAAUCCUCUCUAGCAAAUGUGCAUGAGAUAUAAAUGUGGUGUUUGUCAAGUUAGAGUUUAUAUAUUGUACUCACCUAAAACCCAGCCCCAGAGCAAACAAGCAAACUAGCCAUGGAAAUGGCACAAAAAAAAAAAAAAA